rnacentral:rRNA from 1 species
GUCUUUUAAUUGAGGACUAGUAUGAAUGGUUUGAUGAAAAACAUACUUUCUUUAUUUUAUUAAGGUGAAUUUAAUAUAUAUGUUAAAAAGCUUAUAUAUUAUUAUAAGACGAGAAGACCCUAUAGAGCUUUAUUCCAUAUAUAUCCAUAUAAGUAUCUUGUUUAUAUACAAUAGUAUAUAUAUGGAAUUUUAUUGGGGUGAUAGUUAAAUUUAUAUAACUUUAAUUUACUAAAUUUCAUAAAUUAGUGAUUAAUAUUGAUCCUAUAUUAUAGAUUAUAAGUCUAAGUUACCUUAGGGAUAACAGCGUAAUUCUGUUGGAGAGUUCAUAUUAAUAAUGGAGUUUGCGACCUCGAUGUUGGAUUAAAAUAAGUAUUAGGUGUAGAAGCUUAAUAACUAAGUCUGUUCGACUUUUAAAUUUUUACA